UAGUCCAUGCCGUAAACGAUGUGUGUUAGACGUUGGAAAUUUAUUUUCAGUGUCGCAGUGAAAACGAUAAACACACCGCCUGGGGAGUACGACCGCAAGGUUAAAACUCAAAUGAAUUGACGGGGACCCGCACAAGUAGUGGAGCAUGUGGUUUAAUUCGAAGAUACGCGCAGAACCUUACCAACACUUGACAUGUUCGUCGCGACUUUAAGAGAUUAAAGUUUUCGGUUCGGCCGGACGAAACACAGGUGCUGCAUGGCUGUCGUCAGCUCGUGUCGUGAGAUGUUGGGUUAAGUCCCGCAACGAGCGCAACCCUCACUUUUAGUUGCCAUCAUUUAGUUGGGCACUCUGAAAGAACUGCCAGUGAUAAGCUGGAGGAAGGUGGGGAUGACGUCAAGUCCUCAUGGGCCCUUACGUGUUGGGGCUACACACGUGCUACAAUGGGUAUAUACAACAGGGAAGCAAGACGGCGACGUUAAGCAAAUCCU
rnacentral:rRNA from 1 species